CUCACCUCACUACACGCACAUAUACGGUUACAGGGACAGGGAAAAAUCAGAAACACCAACACACCCACACACCGAAGCACUCAAGCCCGAGGAAGAAGAAGAGAAUAGGAAGGGGAAGACCGCGCCAGCGCACUAGACCUCAUCGCCACCGUCGCGUCGUCGUUAAACCAUGGAGAGAGAGAGAGAGAGAUCAUUCGCGGUGGGAGCCAGUGGAGAGAGAGGCGAGUGCAAGCCAGGACCGGGAGGGAGAAGGCGCCGCCGUGCAUCCUCGUUGCCGUCACUGGAGAUCUAGUCACCGCCGUCGAUCGUCCUUGAACCGCGUCGGAAACAGAGCUGUGAACGAGAGGGACGCGUGGCAGGAGCCCGACGCGAGAGGGAGAGCGCGUGCAUGCACACAAGGGAAGGACGACGUUGCUGGCGUUGUCGUCGCUGAGGUUUCACCGCCGCUGUGAAAGCUCUGUCACUGUCCAGCUGUCGCCGUCACUGUGGGUCGCGUUGCCAAGUUUUUGUUGUGGGAACCCACUUCUGUUGCUGUCAUCAAAGAUUCGGGCCGCCGCCGUCACUUGAGGUAGUUCCCGGAGCUGCUGUCGCUCUGUUGCCUCAUUUCUCUUUAGCCGCAGGUUGAGUUUUGGAAAUUGUAUGAUUAAAAUAAAAGCCGAUGCAGUGUCAUCCUGCAUUGUUUCUCGCGAUAAGUCAUCAUUGUUGUGAACCUUGAUUGUCGCUGUUGAUAUUGCCUAGAAGUCAAUGAGGUUGCUGUCGCAAGUUAAGAAUAAAAAGGGAUUCAAUUUUUGAGAUUUCAUUUUUAGUGACAGGUUCAGGAAGCAUUGGCGCGAAGCCGCGGCCGAUCUACAAGAUUUAUACAUAUAUGUUGUAUUUUUUUUGUUUGAUGGUUUAGUUGAGAUUUUUACCCCUCGUCAAUUGUCAUUUUGAGAUUUUAGAGGGGCAGGACUUGUAUUUUAAGUUUUGAAUAAGUCUAUGUAUUUAUUAUUGUGUGAUUAGGUGAAUUAAGUAAAGACUUUUCGAUUUCAUAACUAGGGAUUCGGUUUGUAUUUGUGAAGGCUCAAUAUUAAAUAAAUAUAAUAUUAAAUUAAAGGAGAAGAGUUUAGUAAUGCUUGGACUUUUAGUACGAUCAUGAGGUGCUAAAAGUUAGGGUGUUACAGAAUGAAUGCCAAUAAUCCUCCUGUAAUACUAAAUAGGGAAAUGACACUACAAGAAAAAUAUUGAGUACCGUCAGAUUUAGCGUCACAGAGUAGCGGCGGAUUUACUAGCAAUAACCACGUCAAAUUCAUAAGGUUUUUUUAAUUACCGAUGGAUUUUAUUUUUUAAAGGUAAAUCCGCCAGUAAUUUUUGGAGGAAAAAUAAAUUAAAUUGGCGAUGCAUUUUGUUGACCCACAAUGGUUUACCGUUAUAAUUUUCUGAUGGUAAAUUUGAUCGUAAAGGUGGCUUAAAUUAAAAUCACGAACCCCUUUCCCCUCAUUCGAGCCCUCACCACCAUCUCCACCAUGCCUUUCUCUCUCGUGUUCCAGCUGCCGCCAUCG